GUGGGGAAUCUUCCGCAAUGGACGAAAGUCUGACGGAGCAACGCCGCGUGAGUGAAGAAGGUUUUCGGAUCGUAAAGCUCUUUCGUUAGGGACGAACGUGCUCUUUGUGAAUAAUGAGGAGUAAUGACGGUACCUAAAUAAGAAGCCACGGCUAACUACGUGCCAGCAGCCGCGGUAAUACGUAGGUGGCAAGCGUUGUCUGGAAUUAUUGGGCGUAAAGCGCGCGCAGGCGGGAUAUCAAGUCUGUCUUAAAAGUGCGAGGCUCAACCUCGUGAGGGGACAGAAACUGGUAUUCUUGAGUGUCGGAGAGGAAAGUGGAAUUCCAAGUGUAGCGGUGAAAUGCGUAGAGAUUUGGAAGAACACCAGUGGCGAAGGCGACUUUCUGGACGAUGUCUGACGCUGAGGCGCGAAAGCUAGGGGAGCGAACGGGAUUAGAAACCCCAGUAGUCC
rnacentral:rRNA from 1 species